AUUGAACGCUGGCGGCAGGCCUAACACAUGCAAGUCGAGCGGAUGAAGGGCGAUUGCUCCUGGAUUCAGCGGCGGACGGGUGCGUAAUGCCUAGGAAUCUGCCUGGUAGUGGGGGAUAACGUCCGGAAACGGGCGCUAAUACCGCAUACGUCCUGAGGGAGAAAGUGGGGGAUCUUCGGACCUCACGCUAUCAGAUCAGCCUAGGUCGGAUUAGCUAGUUGGUGGGGUAAAGGCCUACCAAGGCGACGAUCCGUAACUGGUCUGAGAGGAUGAUCAGUCACACUGGAACUGAGACACGGUCCAGACUCCUACGGGAGGCAGUAGUGGGGAAAUGCUCACAAGGUGUGGAGUCUUAAUCCAGCCAAGCCUGGUGGUAGAAGAAAGGUUGCGGAUGGUAAAAGGCUUUACGAUACGAGGAAGGCCAAUAAGUUAGGACCUGUCAGAGUGGACGUUACCAGAAGAACUGACACCGGCUAAUUUAGU
rnacentral:rRNA from 1 species